rnacentral:rRNA from 1 species
GAUGAACGCUGGCGGCGUGCCUAAUACAUGCAAGUCGAGCGAACAGACGAGGAGCUUGCUCCUCUGACGUUAGCGGCGGACGGGUGAGUAACACGUGGAUAACCUACCUAUAAGACUGGGAUAACUUCGGGAAACCGGAGCUAAUACCGGAUAAUAUAUUGAACCGCAUGGUUCAAUAGUGAAAGACGGUUUUGCUGUCACUUAUAGAUGGAUCCGCGCCGCAUUAGCUAGUUGGUAAGGUAACGGCUUACCAAGGCAACGAUGCGUAGCCGACCUGAGAGGGUGAUCGGCCACGCUGGAACUGAGACACGGUCCAGACUCCUACGGGAGGCAGCAGUAGGGAAUCUUCCGCAAUGGGCGAAAGCCUGACGGCGCAACGCCGCGUGAGUGAUGAAGGUCUUCGGAUCGUAAAACUCUGUUAUUAGGGAAGAACAAAUGUGUAAGUAACUAUGCACGUCUUGACGGUACCUAAUCAGAAAGCCACGGCUAACUACGUG